AAUCCCACUUGAUCAUGGUGAAUAAUUCUUUUUAUAUGCAGAAAACUAGAAAUAGAAGAACAAAGGAAAUUUAAAAGAUCAGCAUGGAGGAGUGCCUGGCUGGCUCAGUUGGGAGGAGUAUGCAACUCAAUCUCAGGAUCAAGUUUGAGCUCCAUGUUGGGUGUAGAGUUCCCUCCAAUCUUCCAUCCUUGUCUAACCAAAUGUGAUUGUUGUGGGGUCAUGAAGUACGACGGCCAAGAAAGAAUUCUUGAGACUUCAGAGGGUGCAACUUAAACUGUUCGUCUAGAGAUGAGGCCUGAAUCCAAAGGAAAAAACACCAAAGCUCAAAACUGAUCAUGAAGAGACAUCUCAUGGUAUGAUAAUGUAAAGACUCACCAGGGAUAAUCCAUACCUGGAGAAUUCUAGAAUGUGAUGAUUCAUCCAGAGUCCCAAGAAAACCAUGACAGAUUCUGGAAUCAAGUUGCCUGGAUCCACAGGAAAACUCUCAUGCAUGACAUGGAGCAUAAUUAGAAUGAACUUAAAUGACAGUGUAGUCUAGACACAAACCUUGUGGGGGUCUUUUGUUUUGUUGUUGCUGUUUUGUUUGGCUUUGUUUUGUUUUUUUUUUACAAACCUUGUUAUAUAAAAGAGUAUGACAUGAAGGAAAAGACUACAAACAAAACUCACACUUAACCCACCAUAAGAAAUGCUUUAAUGUUAACUAUACUGGAAUUAAAUUAAAAAAAAAAAAAGGAUCAUGGUAAGCAGUCU